rnacentral:rRNA from 1 species
AUUGAACGCUGGCGGAAUGCUUUACACAUGCAAGUCGAACGGCAGCACGGACUUCGGUCUGGAGGCGAGUGGCGAACGGGUGAGUAAUGUAUCGGAACGUGCCCAGUCGUGGGGGAUAACGUAGUGAAAAUUACGCUAAUACCGCAUACGAUCUAUGGAUGAAAGCGGGGGAUCGCAAGACAUCGCGCGAUUGGAGCGGCCGAUAUCAGAUUAGGUAGUUGGUGGGGUAAAGGCCCACCAAGCCAACGAUCUGGAGCUGGUCUGAGAGGACGACCAGCCACACUGGACCUGAGACACGGUCCAGACUCCUACGGGAGGCAGCAGUGGGGAAUUUUGGACAAUGGGCGAAAGCCUGAUCCAGCCAUUCCGCGUGCAGGAUGAAGGCCCUCGGGUUGUAAACUGCUUUUGUACAGAACGAAAAGGUUUCUACUAAUACUAGGAGCUCAUGACGGUACUGUAAGAAUAAGCACCGGCUAACUACGUGCCAGCCGCCGCCGUAA